UACGGGGGGGGCAAGCGUUGUUCGGAAUUACUGGGCGUAAAGGGCUCGUAGGGGGCCAAUUAAGUCAGACGUGAAAUCCCUCGGCUCAACUGAGGAACUGCCUUUGAAACUGUCUGGCUUGAGGCCGGGAGAGGGUAGCGGAAUUCCCAGUGUAGCGGUGAAAUGCGUAGAUAUUGGGAGGAACACCAGUGGCGAAGGCGGCUACCUGGACCGGUUCUGACGCUGAGGCGCGAAAGCGUGGGUAGCAAACAGG
rnacentral:rRNA from 1 species